rnacentral:rRNA from 1 species
AUUGAACGCUGGCGGCAUGCCUUACACAUGCAAGUCGAACGGCAGCACGGGUGCUUGCACCUGGUGGCGAGUGGCGAACGGGUGAGUAAUACAUCGGAACAUGUCCUGUAGUGGGGGAUAGCCCGGCGAAAGCCGGAUUAAUACCGCAUACGAUCCACGGAUGAAAGCGGGGGACCUUCGGGCCUCGCGCUAUAGGGUUGGCCGAUGGCUGAUUAGCUAGUUGGUGGGGUAAAGGCCUACCAAGGCGACGAUCAGUAGCUGGUCUGAGAGGACGACCAGCCACACUGGGACUGAGACACGGCCCAGACUCCUACGGGAGGCAGCAGUGGGGAAUUUUGGACAAUGGGCGAAAGCCUGAUCCAGCAAUGCCGCGUGUGUGAAGAAGGCCUUCGGGUUGUAAAGCACUUUUGUCCGGAAAGAAAUCCUUGGCUCUAAUACAGUCGGGUAAUGACGGUACCGGAAGAAUAAGCACCGGCUAACUACGUG